GCUCCUAGAGCAUAUAAAGACAUGAUAAUAUAGGAAUGCGGCUAGCAUUAACUUCAGACCCCAUCUCGUGCCCUAUAAAUACAGCUCUUCUGGGGAUGGUCAGCUGAAAGUCUCACCUCAGGGGAGGAUGCUCUGCCCAGGCUUCUCAGUCUCGACUUCAGCCUGGCUGUCUCCACUGGGCUUCUCCAGCUAAUAAGGUUGGAGGUUAAGUACUCAAUUUGAUGUAACUCUGUCUAUUCUCCUUUACUGCUGACUAUUGCUCUCAUCUAUGUGCAGAUUUCCCUUUUCUUCUUUCUGUUUUUAUUAGAUUUUUAUAAUAUCAAUAAGGUGUUAUAAUAUCGAUAAAGUGUUUUUCCCCCUUCAAAAGCAAGUGUACGGAUACUGUGAAUCUUUUGUUCAGAACAUAUAUCUCAAACAAAAAACAAAUUUAGAAGUGACUGAAUCAGAAUUUCUAAAUUUUGUUUUUAUGGAUCUAAAUUAUGUAUUACUCUGACAUUGCUUCAUUUAAUUUUCUUCAAGAUAUCUCCACUUUCAUGGCCCACAGUCAAAAAAAUAAUAAUAAUAAUGUGCAAACUUGACUUCAUUGCCUAUCCUUCAAAAUGAAUAAAUCUGUUCCUUUCUUGUAUCUCAUAUGAGGUGAAUACCCAUUGCCAUAGCUACAAAUCUAGAUGUUCUUUUUUUCUGACCUUCAUAUUCAACUCUUCUACCAAAUUCUAUUGAUUUUUUCUUAGUAGCUCCCUAGUCAAUUCCUUACAAAUCUAUCUUAAUUCAAGCCCAUAUCCUUAUUUGUAGAAAUCGCUAUAAUAUACUCUGAACUUGUUUUCUUUAUUUCCCCUGGUGUCCGAUCUAUUCAGACAAUGCUACAACAGUAGUCUACCUAAUAAUGAAAUCUGAGAGCAGCCCGGGUGGCUCAGCGGUUUAGCACCGCCUUCAGCCCAGAGUGUGAUCCUGGAGACCCCGAAUUGAGUCCCAUAUCGGGCACCUUGUAGGAGCUUGCUUCUCUCUCUCUGUCUCUCAUGAAUAAAUAAAUAAUGUCUUUUUAAAAAAUAAUGAAAUCUCCUUUCCUUCUGAUUAUGCCAUGAAGCUAGAUAAAACGUUUCAGGAUUCUCCAUAUUGCAUUGAAUUGGUAAUUCAUUUUUACUCACUUUGCCUCUCUAUUAGAAUGUGAACUAUUUGAAUGCAAACUAGAUCUUUGAACUCCUAGCCCAGGGUCCGAUACUAACAAAAUUAAAAAAAAAAAAUAUUUACUAAAACAAUUUGUUAAAUGAAAAGAGAAAUGAAUAUAACUUGUUUUGUGUAAAUAGUGUAGAAGUUGAAAGCAAAAAAAUUCUUGCUUAGAUUUUCACUACAUUUGAAUUCUUUUUGGUAAUAUCAGAUUAAAAUAAAAUUCAAAAUGAAGGGCUCAUAUAAAUGUGAAGUGAUUAUCUUAAAAUGAUGGGGGAUUAAAGAUUGAUUUCCUUAACUAAAUAUAUUUGUAAACUGGCUGAGAGCAUAUCAGUGGCUGAAGUUAUCCCCAAAUUGAAAAUCUUACUAUUAUUUAAAUUUUAAAAUCAGUAAUAAUGUUUAUUAACCAUU
rnacentral:lncRNA from 1 species